UGAAGAUGAGGCCUAUUUUUGUCGGGAACUUUGAGUUUGAUACUCGUCAGUCAGAACUGGAACGGUUUUUUUCCAAGUAUGGAAGAAUUGAGCGAGUCGACAUGAAAUCUGGUAUAGCGUUUUUUCUAAAAGAUUUAGCUAGUUGGGUUUUGAUUACUUGUCUUAUGGUGUAUAUGUUGCUUUAAGAAGCAAAGUUGGAAUACGUUUGUGGCCUGUCAUGGGGUUAACUUGGGGUUUUAAGUUUCAUGGACCUCACCCUCUAUAUAUGAGUUUGCACUUUAUGUGUUGGAUAGGAGUCUUCUGCGAAUGCCUCGGAUUGUCUGUCCUAUACUGCCCAAAACUUUCGUAUAUGUUUACAAAACUUAUAUGUGAGAAUUGUUUUUCUAUAUUAGUAAUUUCUUUGUGUGAUCACGAUCCCCGCAAUUCUUGGUACAUAAAGGGUAGUAGAGCUUUAAUGAUUUCAUUGUAUGGAGUUGUUAUUUAAUGAGUUUCAUUUUCAGCAUUAUAAAUUAAUGACUAUACUUGGAUGAUAAUUUUUUGUAAGCAAGUUCUUGUAUGCUUGUCUGAUAUCAUUAGCGUCUUUUGGUUCUGGUGUCUUAUCUAAAUUAUUGUCUUGUUUAAUUAUUUUGACGUUGGAAAGUAUGUGCUUAUUUGAGGUGUAUUUUAGGUUACAUUUUUUUACCACUUGGGAGAGUUGACUAUAAUUAUUUUGGUUAAACAAACAAUAUAGCUAUAUGACUCUGUCUGUAGCAUGUAGAAAUGCUAUACCUGAGUUGUCAAGACAUAAUGUGGAACCAAACAUUCAUUUGGAAAAGAUCUCCACAUUCAAGUGUUUAUUUUGCCGCAGGCACAUCUACUAAGGAAAAAGAGCUUCUAUCAUGGCUCAACACUUCUGUGCCCCUAUCUGCCUGCUUGAUCUCCUCCUUCUCACUGAUGCAAUUGUGUUCUGAAUUUCUUACAUCGAUCUUCUGUCAUUCACUUACUUCACUACUUAUGUUGCUUAUCACGAGAAUGAUCAUGGUGGGAUCAGUCAGUUCAUCAUGCCAUGCCUACAACUACUAAUAAAGGGGAUCAAUGAAUUAUAUCAUGCCAUGCCUACCAAUUCUGAAAAUCGUGCUCUGAAAUUGGUGAUGCAUGCUUAGCAAUGACUACUCAGACCUGAGUUUUAAACCCUUAAUAAGCCUUCAUCACCUCGACCAUCAUCAUCAUCAUCAUGAUCUAGUUCAUGCAAGGCCUCUACUUCCUUACUUUCCUCAAGUCCUCACAUACUUGCAGGUGUUGUACGGUAUUUAAUUUCUGAAGGAGAUGAGAACUUUGAUUUAGCCGAUGUAUACUCUACUGAAAAGACUUAAGAUCCCAUGUCUUACUGUUCUUUCGGCCUUAUAAUUAAGUCUUUACAACUACCACAGGGUAUGCUUUCGUCUACUUUGAGGAUGACCGAGAUGCAGCAGAUGCAAUCCGUGGGACUGACAACAUGCCAUUUGGUUAUGAAAGGCGCCGGCUCUCCGUGGAAUGGGCAAAAGGUGAACGUGGUAGGCAUCAUGAUGGUGGCCCCAAGUCUGGUGGAAACCAGAGACCGACCAAAACAUUGUUUGUAAUUAAUUUUGACCCUAUCCGUACUAGGGUCCGAGACAUAGAGAAACACUUUGAACCUCAUGGCAAAGUCCUUCAUGUUCGCAUCCGCCGCAACUUUGCGUUUGUGCAGUUUGAAAAUCAGGAAGAAGCCACAAGAGCUUUGGAGUGUACACACAUGAGUAAGGUCCUGGAUAGAGUGGUUUCUGUGGAGUAUGCAUUGAAGGAUGACGAUGAGAGGGGGGACAAAUAUAACAGCCCUAGACGAGAUUAUGGCAGGCAAAGGGAUAGUCCUUAUCGAAGGUCACCAAGUCCAGUGUAUCGUAGGAACCGACCGAGUCCUGAUUAUGGCCGACCUCGGAGUCCUGUUCAUAAUGGUCCAUCAUAUGACAGAUACAGGAGUCCACAGUAUGGAAGGUAUCGCAGCAGGUCUCCUGUUCGGAGGUCUUGAACUUGAGUCAGUUCUUUAUGUGGGAGAGCUUGUGCUGUCAUAAUGUAAAUGCUUGAUGCAGUCUGGUUGUGUAGGAGAAAGAUCUAUCGUUUAUCAGUGUAGCUGUUGCAUUUUGUUGCUUUAACUUAGUUGACUGUAGCUUGUGAAUUUAGCUGUGGGGGAAAACAUUGUUUAGUAGUAGUAGUAGUAUUCUCAUUUCCUAUGAAUGUUGGAGUAUUAUCUCAUAGAUAGGAUUGGAGACUUUUGUUCAAGUACAUAAAUCUGGAACGCCAUAAAAAGGGGGCA
rnacentral:misc_RNA from 1 species